UCGGGAAUUUUGGGCAAUGGGCGAAAGCCUGACCCAGCAACGCCGCGUGAAGGAUGAAGUAUUUCGGUAUGUAAACUUCGUAAGAAUAGGAAGAAUAAAUGACGGUACUAUUUGUAAGGUCCGGCUAACUACGUGCCAGCAGCCGCGGUAAUACGUAGGGACCAAGCGUUGUUCGGAUUUACUGGGCGUAAAGGGCGCGUAGGCGGUGUGUCAAGUCAGUUGUGAAAUCUCCGAGCUUAACUCGGAACGGUCAACUGAUACUGUCACACUAGAGUACAGAAGGGGCAAUCGGAAUUCUUGGUGUAGCGGUGAAAUGCGUAGAUAUCAAGAGGAACACCUGAGGCGAAGGCGGGUUGCUGGGCUGAUACUGACGCUGAGGCGCGAAAGCGUGGGGAGCAAACAGGAUUAGAUACCCCCGUAGUCCCUGAGCGGGCUGGCAAGGCGCAU
rnacentral:rRNA from 1 species